rnacentral:rRNA from 1 species
GUGGGGAAUCUUCCACAAUGGACGAAAGUCUGAUGGAGCAACGCCGCGUGAGUGAAGAAGGGUUUCGGCUCGUAAAGCUCUGUUGUCGGGGACGAAUGUGCAGUAUUUGAAUAAAUUACUGUAAUGACGGUACCUGACGAGGAAGCCACGGCUAACUACGUGCCAGCAGCCGCGGUAAUACGUAGGUGGCAAGCGUUGUCCGGAAUUAUUGGGCGUAAAGGGAGCGCAGGCGGGAAGGUAAGUCGGUCUUAAAAGUGGGGGGCUCAACCCCGUGAUGGGAUCGAAACUAUCUUUCUUGAGUGCAGGAGAGGAAAGUGGAAUUCCUAGUGUAGCGGUGAAAUGCGUAGAUAUUAGGAGGAACACCAGUGGCGAAGGCGACUUUCUGGACUGUAACUGACGCUGAGGCUCGAAAGCCAGGGGAGCGAACGGGAUUAGAUACCCGUGUAGUCC